UUUCCGUAGGUGAACCUGCGGAAGGAUCAUUGUCGAAACCUACAAGGCAGAACGACCCGUGAACCGUUUGGAACUUCACUCGAGGGGAGGGUCGUCGUGCCCAUCGCUCGCUCUCGUUGCCCCGGGGCUAGGGUUGCGGGUCAAGCCUGCACCCCCUUGUCUUGGGUGCAUACAACAAACCCCGGCGCAAAUCGCGUCAAGGAAGAAAGAAAAGAAAGAAAGGCGUGCUCCCUUGGUCCCGGAGAUGGUGCACCGGGGGAUUGCAUCGUCGUUAUCUUAAUCGGAACGACUCUCGGCAACGGAUAUCUCGGCUCUCGCAUCGAUGAAGAACGUAGCGAAAUGCGAUACUUGGUGUGAAUUGCAGAAUCCCGUGAACCAUCGAGUUUUUGAACGCAAGUUGCGCCCGAAGCCAUGAGGCCGAGGGCACGCCUGCCUGGGUGUCACGAAAUGUCGCCAAACAUCCCUUCACMCCCUUUGUAAAGGGAAGCAUUGAGGGUUGGCGGAUAUUGGCCUCCCGCGGGCAAUACCUCGCGGUUGGCCUAAAAGAGAGUCCCUCGGUGAGGCGGCCACGACGUCCGGUGGUUGAAAGCGCAUGCUCUUCUCGAACACCGUCGUGGGCGAUCCUCGUCGGAGGGGAAGCCAGAGGCCCCGACGCAAAGCGUCUCUCGCACAGCGA
rnacentral:rRNA from 1 species